rnacentral:misc_RNA from 1 species
AACGCACAUUGCGCCCAUUAGUAUUCUAUUGGGCAUGCCUAUUCGAGCGUCAUUUCCACCCUCAGGCUUGCCUGGUGAUGGGGCUUUGUACCUACAAACCCUAAAAAUUAGUGGCGGGCGUGCUGAAAACCCGAGCGUAGUAAACAUUUCUCGCUAUGGGCUACAGUGCUGUCCCUGCCGUAAACCCCCCUCUAUAAUGACCAAGGUUGACCUCGGAUUAGGUAGGAAUACCCGCUGAACUUAA